rnacentral:rRNA from 1 species
UACGUAGGGGGCAAGCGUUGUCCGGAUUUAUUGGGCGUAAAGAGCGUGUAGGCGGCCUUACAGGUCAGCUGUGAAAUCUCCACGCUCAACGUGGAGGCGCCACGUGAGACUGCCCUGACUCGAGUCCGGUAGGGGAGCGUGGAAUUCCCGGUGUAGCGGUGAAAUGCGCAGAGAUCGGGAGGAACACCCGUAGCGAAGGCGGCGCUCUGGGCCGGUACUGACGCUGAGGAGCGAAAGCGUGGGGAGCAAACAGG